GAGUGCACAAACACGUACGCACUGUUCUAACUGAUGCCAACGAUAAGCAAUCUACUCAACAAUGCAGACGUCCACAAAUAAGUCUUGUAUUCAAGUUCGUGUGAAGCAUGAUUCUCUCCAUAAAUUCAGUAAAGACCACCUUCUUAAUUACCUGGAAUCUAUAUGGGACUGCAGUGUGAAAGAAUUGAAAGUUGCCUGCAUGGGUAAUGCAGCAAUAAUUUGUUUUACAGAAGCUCAAGAUUUCACUACUCUUCAGAGAACAUGUUCAGAAAAGCCAUUAGAAGAGAUGGUUCUAGAAGUCAAAAGGACUUUUGAAGGAGGUGUCAUCCUGGUUUCCAAUCCACUCCCUAAAACGACAGAUGAUUGCUUUGUGUACUACUUCAAAAAUACUCGACGUAGUGGCGGAGAUCAGAGUGCUACAAUAAUGAAGAGAGACCCAGCACACAAAUUUCUGCUUGUUCAAUUCAGCAGUAAAGAAGUGGCAGAGAAGAUUUUGCAACGGACACAUUGUCUUGAAGGCACCCAGCUGGAGUUGAAAGCCUUUGAUCCUGAUUUAGACUCCCUGCCUUCAGAACAAGAACCUGAACCUGCCCAGGGAAAUCUUUCAGCAGCUGAUAAUGAAUAUCAUGCGAGAAGAGAUUUGGAAAGUACUUCAAAUUCCUUAGAUCACAACAUGCAAUGCUUUGAAACACAAAAACAGCAGCAAAUGACAGCCAAUGAAAAUUGCACAAGAUAUGUUGAAGGAAUGCACAGAGUUUAUCGAGGCACUAUAGAGGUGUUAAGUGAAGUGGAUUCAGAUCUUUUUCAAGAAGUCAGCAUCAAAGAGGAAGGUGAUAAACUUUUAAUUGAGGGUAAAAACCAGGGAGCAGUUGAAAAUAUUGAUAAUUUGCUGAAAAACCUUGUAAGGAUGCAGGCAACCUCUAAAUACUUGAGUAAAGUAGGAGAGGAAUUUACAGAAUGGAAUGAAAUCUUCACGAAAAUUAGAGAGGAAAUAGAAGAGUUUGGUUAUAUUAUUUCUGUGCGAGAUGCAGCAGAUGGUAGCAGGGCAAAGAAAUUUGCAUUAAAACAUGCAAAAGCUCCAUCUCCAUUGAUCAGAUGCUGGAAAAUUUCCUUAUGAGAGAAGACAUCAGUGUCACAAGCAAUGCAGAAAGAGAUCUUUUGACCACAACAGAAUGGGACAGAUUUUUAACUAAAGACCUUGAGGAAGAUUUUGGAGGGAAAGUAUUUGCAGUCUAUAAAGAACACAAACAGUGCUAUUAUGGUAUUUGCUCCUGCAGACCUGAUUGAGAAGCUAAAAGUUGUGUGAGUCAGUUUCUCAGUAAUUCACACAUGACAGAAUAUCUGGAAUUAACUGAAAAGGAAAAAACAUAUCUGCAGCUGUAUCAUAGCGAUAAACUAACUGACCUUCAGAUGCAAACUGGGGCGGAUAACAGUAUCAUUACAUUCACCAGUGAUGGCUGCACCAUUUCAGGAUUCAGAGCAGGUGUCAGAAAUGCAUUAGGCUUUCUCAAAAAGUUUUGCAAAGAAUUUUUUUGCAGACGUGAAAUUUUCUACCACUAUGGGUUAAAAACUUCAUGAAUCUGAAUCUUGGCAAAAGUUGAUAAAAAAGCGGAAAGAGAGAACAAAUGCAUCAUUACAGACUUGCCAGAUGGAAGGAUUAGAUGUGAAGAUGGGACUUUUGAAGCUUGGGGAUUAAGGUUAGCAGCAGUAAUUAAGUCGUACAAGAGUUCGCAUAAUGCACCUUUUUUUCACCUCGUGGAUGGAGAUGUCAGCAGUAUGAAGACAGAUGCCAUUGUUCAGUACCUUUUUCACAGGGACGACGACUAUGCAAUGUCAGCUUCUGCAAGUGGCACUGAGAACUUUGAAGAAAAAGGUGCACGACCAAAACUGCAGGCUGUAGACAUCUGCAAGACUCCUGUACAAAGAGGUGUGCAUGUUGUGCAAUCUGGUAGAUUGCCAUGUAAAGCUGUCAUCAACAUUCCAUUUGAAAAUGAAAUCUCCAUGCAAGGAGAUUGUUUGAAAACGUUGGUUCAUGACAUUCUUAUGACUGCAGAAAAGCAUCAUUUCACAAGUCUUGCAAUGCCAAGCUAUUGGUGUAGAUGGAACCCAUGAGCCCAUGGCAGUUCAUGAUGCCAGUGAGGCUAUAGUGGAUGGAAUUUUAAGCUAUUUUCAUCAGAGAAGCUGUGAUACAGAGAAAGGGUUCAGACUUCAAAAAGCAGUCACAUCAAACAAUAUAUUUCUGUGCUCUAGCAGACCAGCCUGUUUCAAAGGGUUUGAAUUUGAACUUGAAUUUCAGCAUGAAAUGGACAAGCUUAAUGAUCCAGAUCUUUUGAUUCACCAGUAUGUGGCCUGUAAACAGGAGAGUUUGCAGGGAAGACCAGUUGAAACUAAAAAAACACUUCAGAAAGACAGUAUUCAAGUCAUUUCUGGAGAUAUUUGUAUCAUCCAGGCAGAUGCCAUUGUAGUACCACUUGACAGUGAUCUUGAUCUUAGCAAGAAUAGGGUUACCUCAUCACUGUCAUACCAUGGUGGCUCACGAGUUGAAAAAACUUUACGAGGUGAUGGCUGGUGGGGUGACCCAAUUGGGAACCGGAUGGAACUGUUUGAGAUGGAAGGUAUUCUGAUAGGCAGUGGUGGGAAUUUGAAAGCUAAGCACAUCUUCUAUCUGAACCUUCCCUCUUGGGGGCCUGGGGCAUCAAAG
rnacentral:misc_RNA from 1 species